rnacentral:lncRNA from 10 species
GUUAGGACCUUCAUAUCUGUUAUUCCUUUUAUUUUCAGAAAAAUUUGAAAGGUAUCACCCUAGUUUUACAGAAGAGUGAACUUUGGUCAGAAACAUUAAGUAACUUACUCAAGGUCCCUCAUAAACAGCAGGGUUGCGCUUGGAAUCCUGAUCUGUCUCUAACUUCUCAUUUGCAGAUAAAGAAACUGAGGCCAAAGUACACAACUAAUUUGCCAGCGUAACAGCUGGAGACUUAAAUGACACCAAGCAAAGCCUACUUAGUUUAGAUCUCCAGAGUCUCGCUCUGUUACCCAGGCUGGAGUACAGUGCUGCAAUCAUUGCUCACUGCAACCUUGAACUUCUGGGCUCAAGUGAGCCUCCUGCCUCAGCCUCCUGAGUAGCUAGGACUACAGAAAUUGGCUGGUGGAAAAAAAUCAAACAUGAAGAUUGCAGUUUUGUUUUGUUUUUUUCUGCUUAUCAUUUUUCAAACUGACUUUGGAAAAAAUGAAGAAAUUCCUAGGAAGCAAAGGAGGAAGAUCUACCACAGAAGGUUGAGGAAAAGUUCAACCUCACACAAGCACAGAUCAAACAGACAGCUUGGAAUUCAGCAAACAACAGUUUUUACACCAGUAGCAAGACUUCCUAUUGUUAACUUUGAUUAUAGCAUGGAGGAAAAGUUUGAAUCCUUUUCAAGUUUUCCUGGAGUAGAAUCAAGUUAUAAUGUGUUACCAGGAAAGAAGGGACACUGUUUGGUAAAGGGCAUAACCAUGUACAACAAAGCUGUGUGGUCGCCUGAGCCCUGCACUACCUGCCUCUGCUCAGAUGGAAGAGUUCUUUGUGAUGAAACCAUGUGCCAUCCCCAGAGGUGCCCCCAAACAGUUAUACCUGAAGGGGAAUGCUGCCCGGUCUGCUCCGCUACU